CUACGGGACGCAGCAGUGGGGAAUAUUGGACAAUGGGCGCAAGCCUGAUCCAGCAAUGCCGCGUGAGUGAAGAAGGCCUUAGGGUUGUAAAGCUCUUUCGCCUGCGACGAUGAUGACGGUAGCAGGAGAAGAAGCCCCGGCUAAUUCCGUGCCAGCAGCCGCGGUAAUACGGAAGGGGCUAGCGUUGUUCGGAAUUACUGGGCGUAAAGCGCGCGUAGGCGGCCGGACAAGUGAGGCGUGAAAGUCCUGGGCUCAACCCGGGGACGGCGCUUCAGACUGUUCGGCUGGAGUCCGGAAGAGGGUGGUGGAAUUCCGAGUGUAGAGGUGAAAUUCGUAGAUAUUCGGAGGAACACCGGUGGCGAAGGCGGCCACCUGGUCCGGUACUGACGCUCAAGUGCGAAAGCGUGGGGAGCAAACAGGAUUAGAUACCCGCGUAGUC
rnacentral:rRNA from 1 species